rnacentral:rRNA from 1 species
UACGUAGGGUGCAAGCGUUGUUCGGAAUCAUUGGGCGUAAAGCGCGUGUAGGUGGCUUACCAAGUCGAUUGUGAAAGCCCUCGGCUCAACCGGGGAAGUGCAGUCGAAACUGGUAGGCUCGAGAACGGUAGAGGAAGGUGGAAUUCCUAGUGUAGAGGUGAAAUUCGUCGAUAUUAGUAGGAAGAUACCUGUGGCGAAGGCGGCCUUCUGGGCCGUUUCUGACACUGAGACGCGAAAGCGUGGGUAGCAAACAGG